UACGAAGGGGGCUAGCGUUGCUCGGAAUUACUGGGCGUAAAGGGCGCGUAGGCGGUUCUAUAAGUCAGGCGUGAAAUUCCUGGGCUUAACCUGGGGGCUUCGCUUGAGACUGUGGGACUUGAGGUCAGAAGAGGGUCGUGGAAUUCCCAGUGUAGAGGUGAAAUUCGUAGAUAUUGGGAAGAACACCGGUGGCGAAGGCGGCGACCUGGUCUGAUACUGACGCUGAGGCGCGACAGCGUGGGGAGCAAACAGG
rnacentral:rRNA from 1 species